GAUGUGAUGCAUCAGAGUGACAUCACAGACAGCUAUAAGCCUAUAAGACAUCAAAUUGCAGUAAACCCAUGCGGGGUUUUUCCUCUCUUACAAAAAUAAAUAAAUAAAGUAAAAUAAGAGUUUGGUCCUGGCGCCGGAACCAGUAACGGAAUCGUUUCAUAUUCAAUAUCGUCGUCAAUACAAACAGAGAAGAAGUUUUUUAGCUGCUUGUGGUUCGACUCCAAUUGAACAUUACAGCAAUAUCUCACAGGCCUUAUAAGUAGUUGGCUGUGAAGAGUAUUAGGUGCAAAGCUGGAUUAAGAGUGGCUUAAGAGAUUUAUCAAUUUCACUGCGUCUUGUGGAUGGUUGAGCAUGGGGAGAGUUUUGGUCUUUCCCAAUUCCUGUGGAUAUUUGCAUAGGCACGUACCAUGUGCCUGUAGUUUAGGCUCAUUUUUCAGUGCGCUACUCAGAUACGUACUGGCAUUAUCACAAGAACAAGAAAAACCCACUUUGGCACAUGCAAUUUCUUUAAGUUGGCCUGUUUCAUUGCACUUAAUUGCCUAGGAUAUCUUGCGAUCUUUUUGGCCUGCUAUGUUGAUAUCUGCUGGACUAAGCCUGCAAAAGAUGAUUUUCAUCCAUGGUUUCCUAACAAAGUUUCAAAGAACCUGUGAGGACCGUAACAAAGAUUUGAAGAUCUUUGUCUUUGAUGUUGAACAGAAAUGAACGAGCACAGAUGCUUUUGUAGACCUUGCCCCAAUUCAGAAGAUGGCGGAGAAGUUUAUAUUUUAUGGAUAUUAUUCUAGUGCUGCUGAUGCCAUUGCUCAAAUAUUUCAGAUGGAGAUGUUGAGUAGAUCCUUGGAACAACCACAGAUGAUAAAGCCAGCAACCGAGAAGCCUUCCCUCAGCACCUGAAAUCUUGUACAGCAUCGAAACUGUGAAGGCCGCUACCGCUGGCACAGAUUUAACAUAUCUGCCAACCCGGAGAUGUAUAUGGAGGAGAGGCGCAAGUGUGAUCAAGCAAGACUUGCUCGUAAUUUAAAGCUAAGAAAUAAGAAGAGACUGUUAACUGGGUAAAAUCCUUGAACAGAUAUGCUUCGGAAAAACAACCUGGGACAGAAGAUGUGUCAAAAGUAAAAAGAAAUCCGGGAAGCUCCAGCAAAAGGGUGGUGAUGCUAAAACAAGACCUGUUCGCGGAAAGUUGAGAAUGGAAAAACAAAACCGGGUUAUAAAGUUAACUGACGUCAAAUUAAUCUAGCUCAUUGUAUUGGUACCCUUGAACUCAUGUUAACGGGUUUUUGUAUGCAACCUACACUUCCAGUUUCCAUCUGCAUUGCAUGUUCAAGUAAAUAAAUGGUGCUUUCUUCCAACUUGCAAAGAAUAAGAGUCCGUCCCUCUUGCACUUCCGCUUGGACACAUAAAUAAAUAUUGGAAAAAAAGAGACGAAUGAUGUCCUAUUCAAUUUGUUGAUGACCCUUGAUUCAGGUAAGGUUGAGAAAGCAGAAGAAACUUGAGGACUGCAUCAGGGAUUUAAAGAUCUUUGUCUUGGAUUUGUAGACCUUGGCCCAAUUCAGAAGAUGGUGGAGAAGGAUAUAUUUUACGGGUAUAUUCUAGUGCUGCUGAUGCGAUUGCUCGAUUUCAGUGAGCCAUGGCUUGUGGAAUGUAGGGAAGAAACUUACUUAAUAACAGGAAAAGUACAUGGAGAAGAUAGCUACUGCUGCAGCUGCUUGUGGUUCGACUCCAAUUGAACAUUACAGCAAUAUCUCACAGGCCUUGUAAGCAGUUGGCUGUGAAGAUUAUUAGGAUGAGAAGGAAUUGCUUCAGAACAAUUGUUGCCCUGUGCACCCAAGGAUAUAACUAGUUCUUUGCCUUGUCGAAAAUAUCAAAAGUCACUGGAGGAGGUUUUAGGACGCAAUCCAGAUUUUGUACAGCCUUCUCACCGUUUGAAGGAGGUGCAGCUGACUUUACUAAUAUACUGAUGAUGAUAUAUCUGAUCAGGUGUCUGCAACCGUUUGAAGGAGGUGCAGCUGACUCACUCAUCAUAAAGUUGGAAAAGAUUGUGCAGAUGGAGAUGAUGAGUAGAUCCUUGGAACAACCACAGACGAUGGAGCCAGCAACCGAGAAGCCUUCCAUCCGCACCUGAAAUCUUGUACAGCAUCGCAACUGUGAAGGCCACUACCGCUGGCACGGGUUUAACAUCUCUGCCAACCCAUAGAUUUGUAUAUGGAGGAGAGGCGCAAGUGUGAUCAACCAAGACGUCCCCGUAAUUUAAAGCUAAGAAAUGAGAAGAGACUUUUAACUGAGUACAAUCCUUGAACAGAUAUGCUUGGGAAAAACAACCUGGGACAGAAGAUGUGUCAAAAGUAAAAAGAAAUCCGGGAAGCUCCAGCAAAAGGGUGGUGAUGCUAAAACAAGACCUGUUCUCGGAAAGCUGACAAUGGAAAAACAAAACAGCGUUAUUAAGUUUCCAUCUGCUUUGCAUGUUCAAGUAUAUAAAGCGUGCUUUCUUCCAACUUGCAAAGAAUAGUAGUCCGCCUCUCUUGCACUUCCACUUGGUCUGCUUCACUGCACUUAAUUGGCAAGAUUUUGUUUUACACAUAUUUUCAACGAAGAUGAAGAUGAUGAGUAGAUCCUUGUAACCAACCACAGAUGAUCAAGCCAGCAACCGAGAAGCCUUCCUUCAGUACCUGAAUCUUGUACAGCGUCGCCACUGUGAAGACCACUGCCAUUGGCACGGAUUUAAUAUCUCUGCCAACCGAGAGAUGUAUAUGGAGGAGAGGUGCAAGUAUGAUCAGGCAAGACUUGCUCGUAAUUUAAAGCUAAGAAAUGAGAAGACUGUUAACUGGGUACAAUCCUUGAACAAAUAUGCUUCGAAAAUACAACCUGGGAUAGAAGAUGUGUCAAAAGUAAAGAGAAAUUCAGGAAGCUCCAGCAAAAGGGUGGUGAUGCUAAAACAAAACCUGUUCUCGGAAAGCUGAUAAUGGAAAAACAGAACAUGGUUAUAAAGUUAACUGACGUCAAAUUAGUCACUGGAGGAGGUUUUAGCACGUAAUCCAGAUUUUGUACAGCCUUCUCAGCAUUUGAAUGAGGUGCAAAGCUGGAUUAAGAGUACUUAAGAAUUUUCUCUAUUUCACGGGCGUCUUGUGGAUUGGGGUAUCCCUGUGCCUAGCGAUGUAAAUCAAACUAUCUAGUAGCGGUUUGAUGCUUUAUUGGGUGGAUAUUUGCAUGGACACGCCAAGAUAUCCUAUGCCUAACAGUGUAGUUUAGGCUCAUUUUUGGGUGCGUUAUUUAGUUAUACUUCUCUUCUUUGCGGCCUAGAUGUGUAUCACAUUCUCGCAAGAACAAGAAAAACCCACUUUACGACAUUGCACUUAAUUGCGAAGGAUAUCUUGCAAUUUUAUUGGCCAGCUACGUUGAUGUCUGCCGUACUAUGCCUUCCAAACAUGGUUUUUGGCCAUGGACUCGUAACCAAGUUACUGCAGCAGAAGGGAUUGCACUCAAAGACACUUCGGCGAUGAUGAUAGAAGUCCCAACAAAAAAGAUAAUGGAGGGUUUGGAAGACGGUAGGUUUUAUACAACACUUAACUGGAUGAACUAAGUUUUUGUUUCAUACGUCUUGAGUCUACUCUGGGCCAUCGUUUUUUAAGGUGUGAGUCGGAUCCGAUAUUUUGCGCGUUUCGGAGAUAUUACAUCCUCUGUCUUAGUUUGAGGAAAUAGAUUAUAUGCCUACCAAUCACAAUGUUGAUGUUCCCCUGUAGAGAGGUACACAACCACUGUUGUAAAUAGUAAUCGACAAUCAUAUAGAUCCCAUACAGUCCUCUAA